ensembl:lncRNA
GGAAGAUAAGUGGUAAAUAGUGAUGUAAAGUCAUGGCAGGAGAUGGAUUAGGAUAAUAAGAGCUGACUGAGAGGAGCGAGAAGGGAAGAUGUGGGAGAUCGAGGUAGAAAGAGAGAGUGUGAGAGCUGCAGCGUUGGAGCUGCACACUGCAGAUGUCCAUUUUACAGGCGCAUGCAAUAUUUUUAGGAAUUUGGACUGCAAAUCACCACUGUCUGUUGAGAAGAUUGAGGGCUAGCAAAACAACCGUUUUCGAGGGCGUCGCCAUAUUGGAACCCCGACUUCUCUGACGAGGCUAACCAGAACACCGUUUACUCGAGUGUGACAUCAUUCCCAGGUCCGUGUUUCAAUUUCUGAGGAGAAUCCUCGAGAGCAGAUCACAGACACGCACAUGGCCUCCAAUCUGCAUCCAGAUUGAUUUCAUCACGCAUGCAUGCUUGCAAUUCACCUGGAUGUCUGAGCCACACUGAGAUUUCGGGUGAGCUGGCUAGUCUUUGGGCGACCCUCUUCCCCCUCACCUCUGUCCUCAGUGAACCUGACGCCUGCUUGACCCAGAGCACCUCCUGGUCCUACUUCCUCAGUGCCUCAGAGAUGAUGUAAUCACUGUUCUAUGACUGUCCCUCUUCUCCAAGAGGGCUUUAAUUUUGCUAUAGUUGAAUAGAUAGUGGUCUCAGAGUAAAUAUUACCCAAAUUUGGAUGUUUUUCUGUUUUUGUUUCUUUGCUCUUUCUUGUUAUUCAUUCUAUUGAUUCAUUUUGAGAAAAAGUAAAACAUGAACAUUUGGGGAGUUUGUUACAGCAAUUGUUGUAUUUUUAUGUUAUAUUCCCUCAGCAGGAGGCGGUUCCUCAUCCAUUAUGAUCAGCAUUUGUUUGUUUGUUUUUUGUUUUUGUUUUUUUAAACAGAGUAAAGUCCAUCUUUCCAUCUAUAACCCCCACAACCCGCACGCACACACAUACAAACACAACUCACUAGAAAACAUCGUGGCAAGGUUAGGCUGACAUCAGUGGCUAACGAUCAGUUCCUCUGUGGGCUGAAUGAUUAGCUGCAGUAGCCUGGAGACAUUUCCAGCUUGUUUCCCUAAGUUAGUCAGACAUGUAACAUCACUGGCCUUCAAUCUGGACUAACUACAUCCACUCCUCUUCCAUUUUCUCUCUGAUUCUGUGUCCCCCCUCCCCCCCAAAAAGACUUCUUCUAACU